rnacentral:misc_RNA from 1 species
GAUGAAGAACGUAGCGAAAUGCGAUAAGUAAUGUGAAUUGCAGAAUUCAGUGAAUCAUCGAAUCUUUGAACGCACAUUGCGCCCGCCAGUAUUCUGGCGGGCAUGCCUGUUCGAGCGUCAUUACAACCCUCAGGCCCCCGGGCCUGGCGUUGGGGAUCGGCGGAGCCCCCCGUGGGCACACGCCGUCCCCCAAAUGCAGUGGCGGUCCCGCCGCAGCUUCCAUCGCGUAGUAGCUAACACCUCGCGACUGGAGAGCGGCGCGGCCACGCCGUAAAACACCCAACUCUUCUGAAGUUGACCUCGAAUCAGGUAGGAGUACCCGCUGAACUUAAGCAUAUCAAUAAGCGGAGGA